UCAAGGGUCUCCCUGCACUAUCAAAACCUAGAAAGUUGGUGUAUAAAUGAGUAUGCCAUUCAUUGAGCAAAAGUAGACUUAACAAACAACCAAAGCAUUUUCAUCAACCAGCUAUGGAAGUUCAAGUGAUUGUAGUUUUUAUUGUUUUUGCAAGACAGAAGCUCAAUUUGCUUUUUCAUUAUUUUCAGAGUCACUUAAGAUAUUGAGUUGACCCAUCUAUUUGUACUGAUUUUCUGUAGUUUAAGACAUCAGUAACGCAUCUGAUUUAGGUACCAUAUUAAUGUUAAGAAAUGUUCAUUUUCCAUUUGACUGUAGAAUAAUCCUGAGGUGUGACAACUGUCAACUAGUGUUUCACGCAGAUUGUGUACGGUACGAAUUAGAGCCUUUGCUAACUGGUGAGGAAGUUGUCGUUUACUGUGAUUAUUGUGCUGAACACCAGUCAUGACUGAGAGGCGCUUGGUAAAAAUAACAGACAAGAAUGGGAACAGCUGUAUGAAAUAUGUAAGCAGUGAAAUGUUUCAACAGCUAAAAGCAGAUAAAGAACUCUUGCAAAAGUUCCUUCAGAUACCAGGAACCGAAACUGGACC
rnacentral:lncRNA from 1 species